AAGAAAUCUUUGGACAAAGUCACCUGCAGAAACUCCACCAGCUCCUCCAUGGACAACUUGAGCAGCAGAUAAUCGGAAGACAGGUGACAGAAGUUCACAGGAGGUGAAUAAAGUCACUGUUCCUCACUGGUUUACUGGUUCCUCACUGGUUAAGGUGAGAAUCUGAAGUCAUUUCCUUGUUUUUCUGGCACGCAAACAACCCAAAGACUCAAUUUUAAUGACAUCACUUUGUUUUUAAUGCCAGAUUGACUUCUGUACUGUUUUGAAGGCUGGAAUACUUUCACAGUUUCAGCUCAAGAAAUCCCACCAGGUAGCUGUUAUCGUCUCACACGGAGCGUGACAAAUGGUAGAAAAAAUUCAUACCGCCUUUAUUUCAGAGAGCAAUUCCGGACAUCAAAGCUGUGCGGUUCCCUGAUCAUUCACAGGAAAAGGAGGAAGUGAAAGCCUAUCAUGAUUGUUGUAGAAAGCAAGGAUUCACAUUUUAAGGCUGUCAAGGAGACGUGCAGAAGAAUGUUACUUUCUAAAUCUGCAAUUUAAAGUAUAACAACACCACUGUAUGCAGCUUUAAAAUCUGCGUCUUAUCGGAUGAAGAUCAGUCCGGAGUUUUUGAUCAGAUGCAACCGAUUUGUCUUUACAAACUGUGACGGCGCUCCGCAGAGAGGCUGUUAUCACCACAUCCCACAGAGACCGGUGCCAACAUCAUGACCGUCACCAGUUUGUCAUUAACAAGACGGGACGAGUCGGGGCGGGUGGCAACAGAAAAAAACAACCCGAGCACAUUAGCAGCUUUCAGCGCACAGCCGGAGACUGAAACAAGGAGAAGAAGAAGAAGAAGAAGCUCAACAUGAUGACGGUUUUUGAAAGCUGCUACUGAUAUUUGUUUGCAAAGUCAUAACAGUGGAACAAAAAACGAGGGAGGCGUCUGAUGGGUGCCAAAUGUAUUCUGCAGCGUGACAAUGACCCCAAACAUCCAGCCAGACUCAUAAAGAACUAUCUUCAGGGAACAAAA